rnacentral:rRNA from 1 species
UACGUAGGGUGCAAGCGUUAUCCGGAGUUACUGGGCGUAAAGCGCGGGCAGGCGGCUGUCUAAGUCUGAUGUGAAAGCGCCCGGCUUAACCGGGCGAGGCCAUUGGAAACUGGAGAGCUGGAGGGCAGUAGAGGCAGGCGGAAUUCCGGGUGGAGUGGUGAAAUGCGUAGAGAUCCGGAGGAACACCAGAGGCGAAGGCGGCCUGCUGGGCUGCACCUGACGCUGAGCCGCGAAAGCCAGGGGAGCGAACGGG